CAGCCGCCGCGGUAAUACGAAGGGUGCAAGCGUUACUCGGAAUUACUGGGCGUAAAGCGUGCGUAGGUGGUGGUUUAAGUCCGUUGUGAAAGCCCUGGGCUCAACCUGGGAAUUGCAGUGGAUACUGGGUCACUAGAGUGUGGUAGAGGAUAGUGGAAUUUCCGGUGUAGCAGUGAAAUGCGUAGAGAUCUGGAGGAAUACCGGUGGCGAAGGCGGCCCCCUGGACAAAGACUGACGCUCAGGUGCGAAAGCGUGGGGAGCAAACAGGAUUAGAUACCCGCGUAGUCCCUGUCUCUUAUAC
rnacentral:rRNA from 1 species